GGGGCUGAUUCUGGAUUCGACGGGAUUUGCGAAACCUAAGGUGCAUGCCGAGGGGCGGUUGGCCUCGUAAAAAGCCGCAAAAAAAUAGUCGCAAACGACGAAACCUACGCUUUAGCAGCUUAAUAACCUGCUUAGAGCCCUCUCUCCCUAGCCUCCGCUCUUAGGACGGGGAUCAAGAGAGGUCAAACCCAAAAGAGAUCGCGCGGAUGCCCUGCCUGGGGUUGAAGCGUUAAAACGAAUCAGGCUAGUCUGGUAGUGGCGUGUCCGUCCGCAGGUGCCAGGCGAAUGUAAAGACUGACUAAGCAUGUAGUACCGAGGAUGUAGGAAUUUCGGACGCGGGUUCAACUCCCGCCAGCUCCACCA
rnacentral:tmRNA from 1 species